GUUGUUCAAUAAGUUGUAAGUGCACUAAGGGAAGUGGACAGAAAAGUGUCUGCUGAAGAAACUCCCAUAUUCACCAUGUAAGAUCCUACCCACAGACAUCAAGCUCCCGAAGGAAUAACAAGCAAGCUACUGACCCUGGAAAGAAUGAAAAAACAAACAAACCACAAGCUGGAAACAGAAAGGGGCAACUCUUAAAGACAGGCUGUACUUCAACAAUCUCAAGUUCUACUUGCCCAAGAACAUAUACUCAGCAGUGGUCCAGUGGGCCUACGGAGCAUCUGUCCAGAACCCUCAUGAACUCUUUUGAUCAAUAAAUACUCUGAAGUACCAGGAAUUGCCUCUCUGACCAACAGUUACUGUAAAUCUUGUGCCAUUUGUGCCAAGGGCAACUCAGGAAGAAUGGAGGAAAGCCCCAAGCAUCUAGCCAAACCUCAUUAUCUCUUCCAGAGGAGUCAAGUCGACUUCAUUCAGAAUGCCAAAGAAUGGCUGAUUCAACUAUGCACUAAUUAUAGCAGACAUGUUUUCAGGAUGGCCAGAGGCCUAUCCAGCCACCAAAGUGAUAACCAAGACCACAUGCUGAGUAGUGCACCGUGAAAGUUACAGAGAUCACCCCGUGGAUUCAUCAUUCCAGAAUCAAGCCUGCCUCUGCAUCAUGUGAAGUAACAUUUGUUGAUCUUGACAACCCUUUUUUUUUUGAAACUCCAUUCUUAGAGAACAAAGAUACUUGUUGAAAAUAAAUAAAUAUCAACAAGUGGGUGUUUUGAUGGCCAUAAUAAUGCCUGACCACCUGCCAUCGAUGGAAAGCCGAAUACCCCAAAAGGGGACCUCGUGAAACUAAAGAGAAAUAAACAUACUCCUUACCCUGCAGCCCUCACGUCUGAGGUGCCAUACGCACAGUCAAAGCUUCUUCAGGAUCAUCUGCUUAUCUUGAGUUUGUGGUGAUAUUAAUAUUGAAUGUUUAAAUGAUCUGAAUCUGCCAGUACUAGGG